rnacentral:rRNA from 1 species
GAAAGUCGACCAACACCCGAAGUCCCGAUUCGUCGGCCUAAGGUGGGGGAUGAUUGGGUU